CACGUAGGGCGCAAGCGUUGUCCGGAAUUAUUGGGCGUAAAGAGCUCGUAGGCGGUCUGUUGCGUCCGCUGUGAAAACUCGGGGCUUAACCCCGAGCCUGCAGUGGAUACGGGCAGACUAGAGGUAGGUAGGGGAGAAUGGAAUUCCCGGUGUAGCGGUGAAAUGCGCAGAUAUCGGGAGGAACACCGAUGGCGAAGGCAGCCCCCUGGGCUAACACUGACGCUCAGGCACGAAAGCGUGGGGAGCAAACAGG
rnacentral:rRNA from 1 species